rnacentral:SRP_RNA from 1 species
GCUGGGCAUGGUGGCGCGUGCCUGUAAUCCCAGCUACUCAGGAGGCUGAGGCAGGAGAAUUGCUUGAACCCAGGAAGUGGAGGUUGCAGUGAGCCGAGAUCGCACCACUGCACUCCAGCCUGGGUGAAAGAGUAAGACUCCGUCUCCG